rnacentral:tRNA from 1 species
UGGGCUGUGGCUCAGCGGGAGAGCACUCACCUAGCAAGUGCAAGGGCCUGGGUUCGAUUCUCGGCACCACAA